rnacentral:rRNA from 1 species
CAGCCUGAUCCAGCCAUGCCGCGUGAUUGAUGAAGGCCCUAGGGUUGUAAAGAUCUUUCAACAGUGAAGAUAAUGACGGUAACUGUAGAAGAAGCUCCGGCUAACUCCGUGCCAGCAGCCGCGGUAAUACGGAGGGAGCUAGCGUUGUUCGGAAUUACUGGGCGUAAAGCGCGCGUAGGCGGAUUAUUAAGUCAGAGGUGAAAUCCCGGGGCUCAACCCCGGAACUGCCUUUGAUACUGGUAGUCUAGAGGUCGAGAGAGGUGAGUGGAAUUCCGAGUGUAGAGGUGAAAUUCGUAGAUAUUCGGAGGAACACCAGUGGCGAAGGCGGCUCACUGGCUCGAUACUGACGCUGAGGUGCGAAAGUGUGGGUAGCAAACAGGAUUAGAUACCCUGGUAGUCCACACCGUAAACGAUGAAUGCUAGUCGUCAGGGGACUUGUCCUUUGGUGACGCAGCUAACGCAUUAAGCAUUCCGCCUGGGGAGUACGGUCGCAAGAUUAAAACUCAAGAAA